GCAUUUCAUAAAUUAUUUCGCUUCCAUUGUAUUGUACUACCUUUUCUGUUCAUUUAUUUGGGAUGUGUCAACUUCAGGUUGGGCUCCAAAGUUGCAAUGUUCCAGUAUUCCUCAGUCGAAAUUUACAAUGCCUACAAACCACAGCCUACUCUUGAGAUUCACAAUCCCGAUAUGCACAAAGAUGCCCCAAGGUUGCUGCCCUCGUGUUUCGUGCUCUGAUUGUUGAGUCUUCAAUGAGAGCUGAUUCCAGUUAUAUAGAGAGUUCAUACAAUAGAUGAAACGAUAUUGUGAUUCUCUCAAUGGUGGCUUCAUGAGCAAGCAAUCAUUCACCUUGUUCACUAAAAUUUCAGACUGUAGCUCAGAUAAGGCUUUGAGCAUUCCUUGCUACAAUGCUUCCGAGAGAAGGGAAACCGGCAAAGGGGAAAAGAGACGAAUAGAAGGGCAUUGGUGCCCUCUCACACACAGGCCAAGUAUACAUCCACAUG